rnacentral:tRNA from 2 species
GGAUAGGUGGCCGAGCGGCUGAAGGCACACGCCUGGAGAGCGUGUAAACGGGUAACCGUUUCGUGGGUUCGAAUCCCACCCUAUCCG